rnacentral:rRNA from 1 species
CAGUCGCCGCGGUAAUACGAAGGGGGCUAGCGUUGCUCGGAAUCACUGGGCGUAAAGGGUGCGUAGGCGGGUUUUUAAGUCAGAGGUGAAAUCCUGGAGCUCAACUCCAGAACUGCCUUUGAUACUGAAAGUCUUGAGUUCGGGAGAGGUGAGCGGAACUGCGAGUGUAGAGGUGAAAUUCGUAGAUAUUCGCAAGAACACCAGUGGCGAAGGCGGCUCACUGGCCCGAUACUGACGCUGAGGCACGAAAGCGUGGGGAGCAAACAGGAUUAGAUACCCCCGUAGUCCCUGUCUCUUAUAC